AGCGCAUAGCGUAAAGGGGUACUUUUGUUUUCAUUUAGCAGUAAGAAAUUAAUUGGAAACAAGUGAAAGGGGUAGCAGAAGACAUCCAAUUUGAUUCUGAAACUAGUGUGAUAAUGAUAUUUUGUUUUAUUGUGUGACAUUGUGGCAAAUAUUAUAAAGAAAUACCAAUUUUGGUGACAAGAGCAUUAUCGGUCAACACAAUCAGUGCAGACAAGGAUUUUUUUUUCUAAUUAAAGAGAUAUUAUUUAUUGUAAUCUGAAAUAAAUAAAACAAAGGUAAGCUUAACAUUUUGACAUUGCCCUUUUUUCAGUAAAUUGAAAAAUAAAAUAAAAAAAUGUAUAUUUUUAUUGUUUAUAAUGUUUUUUUUUGUGUGUAUUGCAACCAUAAGACGUUUCAUUGUUUUAACAAUAGAUUUAAAAGAAAUUUAAUGAAUACACGAAUGAUUUUGAAAGAACUGUGUCAUGUAGUUAGCAACUGAGAUAUUUAACGCAUAUCUUAAGGUAUAGAAAAUAAAUAAGAAAAACAUUUAAUACUUCAAAUUGUAUGUAAGGUCGAAUGGUUCGGAAUUCUUUUACAAAUAUUUGGUUUAUUUCAAAAUAAGAAAUAUGGUAUAUCUUUAAAUGCUACGUAGAUUUCUUUUCUGUUAACUUAAAUGACAUUGAACAAUUAAUGUUCAAUAUAAACAAAAAGACAGAUUGUGUCUAUGGUGAAGAAACAAAACAGAAAUAAAAUGCUAAUAUCAAAAUCCAAAAAAAUUAUAGUGCAUCUAUAAAAGAGUACAAUCAGGCCAUAAUAAUAAAACUAGCAGUUUAAUAAGAUAAAUAUGGAAUUUUGUCUGGUUGGGCUAACAUCAUUUUCUGCUCAAAUGUUGGAUUGUUAAUUUGCUUUCGUCCUGAACAUGCAUGAACUAUUUGCCACUGCACGCAAAACAACGGAACACACCCGACAGUGGUUACACCCAUACAACAAAACUCAGUUUGCUUUAAAAAAAAAGCCAUGAUGUACAUAUUGGCCAACUACGCAUUCUAACAAUACAUGUGUUUCGUGUGUUUUUUUCUGUUGAAAACCUAUCAAAAUAUCAACAUACAUUUUUCUAUUUAAAUUUUCAAAAUAACAUGUCAUCCGUGUUUAAAUUAAAUCGAAGACGGCGUUGUAUACCUUUACUAAUUAAUUAGAGCUCAAAGUCAAAAUUUAAAUCAAGAAAUAUGCGGUUAAUAACACCUAUUUAUAAGUAACCUAUAAUCCAUGUGGAAUUCAGAUUAACAUACAUAAAUAUAUAUUGACACAUAUAUUAUAUCUUACAAUUUAAACUUUAAAAAAGAAAUUUUCAUACACGAGUAAGGCGAAACAAAUAUAAUUUCCUUUGUGCUACCUUACUUUCCCGUUAUGUUCCUGCCUACCCCAACACAUGCAGCCUACGCCUACGGGCAUCUGAAUCGAUUAAGCGCCUUUAUAAUGCAGCCAUGUUAGACUAAGCACCUUUCUUAUGUCCGGAAAAUUGAUCUUUUUUUUCAAUUAAAAUGUUGUUUUGUAUAUCUACCUAUCAGAAAACAAGUAUAUAUCAUUUAUUACAUAUUUUAGCUUAAUAAAUAAUUUGGAAACAUACGUUCAUUGAGACACAGACACAAAUGAGAUUUGACUAUACUGAUACCAUAGUUUACGUUUUCAAGUGUAAUUAUGAGGGUUUAAAGUUUUGCUAUGGAUACUUCAAUUUGAAACUAUAUUACUUUUUAAAGUAUUAUAUUGUCAAAAGAGGCAUUAUAUAUAAUAGCAUGUACACAUGUAAUACGAUUCUUGAAGACGGAUGGACAAAAAAACCUUAAUGGUUCAGAAACAACUUAAACUUUAUUAAAAUGAAAUGAUAAAAAAACGAAUUCGAAUUUGAAAUAAAUGAGACGAAAAGCGUGGUUAAAAUUCACUCCAAAUUUGACCCAUGGGAUUCUUUUACUCUCUUGUGUCUUUGGGUUACAGCUCAAUGAAGUCUAGGUAAUAUAAAGAUAAGGAGAUGUGGUAUGAUUGCCAAUGAGACAGCUAUCCACCAAAGUUCAAAUGAAAAAGAUGUAAGCAAUAGUAGGCAACCAAUGAGAAAAACCCAUACCGUAUAGUCGGCUAUACAAUCCCCGACAUGCAAUUCAAUUAAGAAAGCUAACGGCCUAAAUUAUAACAAAUAAUUUACUGAAAACAAAUAUGACAGACAUAAACCAACAACAACCACUGUACAAACCUUCCUCUGACAAUGGACAGUGGUCUAACAGCACAACAUACGAACGAACUAUAAAAAUUAUCUGACAAAGUCUUAUCUCAUCAGAUCGAUACAAAACAGAAAAACCACAGACUAGACGUGAUAUGGCAUUUAUCCAUCCCUCAUCCCUAUUUACAAUUAAAGUACCGAGUACAGAUCUCAGAGUACCCACAGUUACUGAUAGCGUAAACCUUUGUUUCCUGUUACUAGUAUACAUUUUGUUAGCCUCAUGAUACAUUGUAAUUAUGACCUAUAGAUUGAAUCUUUUCAAGAUCAUACGCAAUGAUCUAUGAUCAUGACAGUUGCUUAAUGCAAACCAAGAUACCUUGUUGAAAUCAAAUCAACACUUAAUCAAACCUUGUGGCUCGUUUUUCAAUCUAUCCCUUAACUGUUGUGUGUUUAAAAGGGAAAACAAGAAAUAUGAGGUAUACCUUCAUGAACAGAAGCCUAAAACAAGAAUUAUCAGAAAAAGUACUAUUCGGAGGUAAAUCUUUCUAUGCUUAUAUAUAUGUAAAUUGGUGGGUAUCAAUAUACUACGGAGCCCUGCUGGUAAUUUUCAAUUAAAGAGUUUCGUUUUUUUAAAGUCAAGUGCGUUUUGAUAUAUAUCUCCAACUGUUGACUUUAAAUUUCUAGCACUUUAUAUUCAUAAUACUUCUCCAGCUCUUUAAACACCACAAGUCUAUAUCUGUGUGAAACCAAUAGGACUCUGCAGUAUAUCGACAGUAUUGCUACCUAUAAUGCACCAUGCUACAAAUGACUACAUGGUUAAACCAUCUCGUUCAUAGAUAGCUGUUUGCUACGAGUAGUUUGCUUAUGACAUUACUGAUGAUACAUCUAUUGAUAGAAUUAAUUAAUAUAUUUGAAGAAAUAUACAGGUCUUCCAAUAAACGUUUGCAAUACAUGUCUAAACGUGUGCAUGGAGUAUAGUUUCAAAACAAUUCGAAGCUUUAACAGAUGUACAGUUUACAUGGAUGCUCAAUAGGAAUAAGGAAGUAUCAGAUAAUGUCAGAUCUGAUCUUACGAUAAUUAUAUUUUAAUACCCUCGGCUAGCUUCGCAAGAAACACAUUUUAAAUUUUGACAAAAAACAUCAUAAUUAUAAUUUAAUCAUAGUUAAUUUAUCAUAUCUUGUGGUGACACAAUCUUUAUAUCUUACAACCUUGUCGUUCGAGGACAAUUGAUGUCUAUAUAUUAACCUUUUAUUUGAUAUUUUAAAAGAAUUUUUCUGUACUUAAAAGUUUUUGUCUGACUUAUCUGUAUAAACUCUUUCUAAAUCAUCACAAAAUUACAAUAUUUUUUUUCAAAUUUAUAAGUACGUACAUUUAUUUAUAUUUGAAAAUUUAAACUUUGUUACAGUUAAUGAGUAAUAAUUUGCUUUUAUGUCAAACGUUCUUGACGACUGACACUAUAUGAUUGUUAACAAGUAUAAUUAAUUUGUUAAAAACGUAUAAUUCGUGACCCAUGCAGUGUGAAAAUUACAGUGUCAAUGUCAAAGCAUUGUAUUUUAAAAAUAUCUUUCUUUAGCUUGAUAUCAAAUUUAUAUACGGUAACGUUUCAAACGAAAGGGUUGGCCUUCUUAUAAAGGCCUCUCAAAUAGCUAAAUAAUACAAUCAAAUUUACAUCACGUCAGAGUAACAGGUACCAUUUCAACUUGUUUGAAAUAUAUACUCCAUAUUAUAGAAUCAAAUAUCAGAUAAUAUUUUAUAUGUAUCUCAUUUCUGAACUAAGUUUGUCAUAUUGAAUUUGUAUUUACUUAAUCAAAAUAUAUUGCUAUUAAAAUCUAACAGUCAAUCCUAUUCUCGAUUCGGUUUGCAAGUCCUUGCAUCAAUUUAAUUAAAAUCAAGAACUUGUAGCUGUCGACAACUUGUAUGAUAUUGAUUAUUUUUGUCCUUUUCUUUUCUUAUUAUCCUUAUUUACAGAAAAGUAUGGACGGACGAACAUGUACUCUAAAUAAUUAUAUUUCAUUCAAAAUGUACAGAAAUUUAGCGUCUGCAUAGUAUUACGUCUAAAUAUAUCAUGGAACUUUUUAAUGAACCAAUUUUAGUUACAAUAUUUAAUGGUUCUGAAUUACAAAGUCUAAAGUAAAGAUGGACACGGUCUUUAAUAAAGAAGUUUAAAUGAGAAGUUGGGUCUGAACAUAUUAUUUUUGUGUUUUCAAAUUUCCGUGCAAUUGAAAUCCUUGAAAUUGAUUUGAAAGGAAUAUUUAUGAAAUAACAUUAAAAUUUCUAUCUUCAGAUUUACUGGCAUUACAAAAAAAGAGGAACAA
rnacentral:lncRNA from 1 species